rnacentral:miRNA from 1 species
GACUAGUGAUUCUGUUGUU